rnacentral:rRNA from 1 species
GAGAAUCUGCCUUCUGGUCGGGGACAACCACUGGAAACGGUGGCUAAUACCGGAUGAGCCGAAGGGUAAAAGAUUAAUUGCCAGAAGAGGAGCUCGCGUCUGAUUAGCUAGUUGGUAGGGUAAAAGCCUACCAAGGCAUCGAUCAGUAGCUGGUCUGAGAGGACGAUCAGCCACACUGGGACUGAGACACGGCCCAGACUCCUACGGGAGGCAGCAGUGGGGAAUUUUCCGCAAUGGGCGAAAGCCUGACGGAGCAAGACCGCGUGAGGGAAGAAGGCUCUUGGGUCGUAAACCUCUUUUGUUAGGGAAGAACACAAUGACGGUACCUAACGAAUCAGCCUCGGCUAACUCCGUGCCAGCAGCCGCGGUAAUACGGAGGAGGCAAGCGUUAUCCGGAAUUAUUGGGCGUAAAGCGUCCGCAGGUGGCGAUUCAAGUCUGCGGUCAAAGACUGGGGCUUAACCCUGGAAAGGCCGUGGAAACUGAAGAGCUAGAGUGCAGUAGGGGUAGAGGGAAUUCCCGGUGUAGCGGUGAAAUGCGUAGAGCUCGGGAAGAACAUCGGUGGCGAAAGCGCUCUGCUGGACUGCAACUGACACUCAGGGACGAAAGCUAGGGGAGCGAAUGGGAUUAGAUACCCCAGUAGUCCUAGCCGUA